rnacentral:rRNA from 1 species
UACAGAGGGUGCAAGCGUUAAUCGGAAUUACUGGGCGUAAAGCGUGCGUAGGUGGUUGACUAAGUCAGGUGUGAAAGCCCCGGGCUUAACCUGGGAAUUGCAUUUGAUACUGGUCAGCUAGAGUUUGGUAGAGGGAAGUGGAAUUCCAGGUGUAGCGGUGAAAUGCGUAGAUAUCGGGAGGAACACCAGUGGCGAAGGCGGCUUCCUGGCCUGUUCUUGACGCUGAGGCGCGAAAGCUAGGGGAGCAAACGGG